AUGGCUGCUAACAAGCCUGCCGCCGCUGGUCCUCAUAAGCUGGAGAUGGGCGCCUUCCAACCCUGCGUGUGGGGUGACUUCUUCAUCACCUACAACCCUCCCCUCUCGCAGAGCUCAGAGAUGAGGAUGCGAGAGAGGGCGGAACAACUCAAGGUCCAAGUGCGCGCCCUGUUAGAGGACAGCAAAAACAGGAGCGUGGCUGAUGCUGUGACACUGGUGGAAACGCUCGAGCGGCUCGGCAUCAACAACCACUUCCGUGGGGAGAUUGGCACGGUACUAAGGCAUGUGCUAAACGAGGAGCCGGAGUUUCCAGCUAGCUCUGACGACCUCCACAUCGCCGCUCUUCGGUUUCGCCUACUUAGGCAGCAUGGGUUCUGGGUAUCUGCAGACAUAUUCGACAAGUUCAAAGAUCAGACAGGAAAUUUCAGCACAAGCCUAUGCAGUGACCUAGUGAGCCUUCUGAGCCUUUAUAAUGCAGCGCACCUGGCGACGCCUGGUGAGGAUGCACUAAGUGACGUGAUCGUCUUUUCGAGGUACCACCUCGAGGCAAUGAGAAACAAGCUUAGGCCACCAAUGGCGGAACAAGUCUCACGUGCCCUCGACAUUCCUCUCCCACGGACCGUCAGGCGGUUGGAAACAAUGCACUACAUAAAGGAGUAUGAGAAGGACGAGUCUAACAACGGCCCGCUGUUGGAGCUCUCCCGACUUGACUUCGAACUGGUCAGGUCCCUUCACCUCAAGGAGCUUAGGGCUCUAUCUUUGUGGUGGAGAGAUCUUUAUGACAAUGUGAAGCUAAGCUAUGCCCGGGAUCGUCUAGUGGAGAACUAUUUCUGGACAUGCAGCGUGUUCCAUGAGGAGGAGUACUCACGCGCACGGCUGAUGUUUGCAAAGACGUUCGGUCUGCUAUCCCUGAUGGAUGACACCUACGAUGUCCACGCGACCCUGGAGGAUUGCUAUAAACUCAAUGAAGCUAUACAAAGGUGGGAUUUUUUGCAAAAUAAUAGUGCUUACUUAGGCCAAUCGCUGAACUAA
rnacentral:rRNA from 1 species